UGGGGGUGUACAUAACAGCGAUUCGUCCUCGAGCAAAUAUUCAUCCAUAAAUAGUCAAAAGACUAAUGUUGUUGGUUAUGAAAAGAACUUCCAAGGGACUGUCAUGACUUUGGCUAAAAUUGACGAUCAUAAAGAAACAUUGUUGGAUUGUGACCCAAACCAGCAAGAGCUUUUGCAGCCACGUCACGCAGAGUGGGCACGGAUACUAGAGGCCGCAACACAGAGAAGAACUGAAGUUCUUACACCUGAAAAUCUUGAAAACAUGUGGACAAAAGGAAGAAAUUAUAAAAAGAAAG
rnacentral:misc_RNA from 1 species